UCGACCUUUUGCGGCACAUUGGCUGGGAAUUCUGCGCUUGCUAGGCUGCGGAGUUUGCUAGUGAAAUUUGUAGCGAAUGAAGUGUCAUUUAGAGGUGGUAGAUUUGGUUUAUAGAGCGGCAGUCUCUUAGAGGUGUGGCUUGAUUGAAUUGUUUUGCGUGCAACUUCAUAUUCUAAGAUUCCAGCAACAGUUGAAUUAUCAAAAGUUCCUUGACCAGUCACGUAAGGUCUAGCAGACAUGAAAAAUUUGGCGUCUGGGUGGUGGGGCUUGGUCUUUAGAAGAACAUCUGUGGUUUGUCCUGAGGCAAUCAGAAGUGUCUCGGUAUCAAAUGGUUUCACAUAAAUAGCAUCAACACCAACAACUGUGAGUGUAUGGUUUGCUAUGCUGAAGAAGAGCUCCUCAUUGAGUGCGGCAUUGAUCAAGCGAAGAAGGUAAGUCUUUCCUGGCUUUACCUUCAGCUUGAAAGUAUCUGUCAAGCACCAUGCACACAAGGUCAAUGAGAGAAAAAAAAAAAUGCUCUGUAUUGUUGUAGAAGGCCUGCUGCGCUAACAUAUUAUACUUUUGGCAGAGCAGUUAUACAAUGGCCCUGGGAGUCCAUUGAUAGUGUAGGCAUCAGAGACAUUUGGGCCUCCACCCGUUUGCAUUGCCUGGUUAAUGAUUGCCUCUGGAUCUGCAUUGAACCACUCUCCUGCAAUUUAUUUUGCAUUAUCGUUUGUGUUAGCAGACAUAGGACUUCAUCAACAGGGAAAACAAAUGAUCGGAACUUCCUUACUGUAGAUUACCAAAGAUGAUCGGAACUUCCUUGUCAGGUUUAGCAAAUGGAUAAGGAGUGCCGAGUUUGGGAAGAAUGAUAAGUGGACCGUAGAGAGUUGAUCUUAACCAUGAUAUAUGGGCAUGCCACCAAAGAGUGCCUCUUUGUCCUACGAUGGUGUAGUUGUACACAUAGCUCUGUCCAGUUUGUAUAGGGCACUGAGUUACGUAUGCCGGUCCAUCAGCCCACCCACUUCGAAGCUGCCGAAUUCCAUGCCUGUAUCAAUGAAAUCGUCGACAGAGAUUUAGACCCAGCUUUUCGAUACAAGGCUCACUAAAUUUAGAGAAAAUUGAAGGAGGUCAGUCAAUAUAUAUGUACCAGUGAAUAGAGAUAUUGUUUUGGACAUGGUUAACCACUUUAAUAAGAAGACGAUCACCCUCCCUAGCAACAAUACAAGGCCCAGGGAACUUGGCAUUGACUGUUACCAUGCUCUUGGUGUGGCAAAGGCGUGUCACAUUUUGUAACAGAACCUGCAAAAUUUCAUUUUCUAUAGACCGUUAAAAACGAGGUUAAAAAAGAAGAAGAAGAAGAAGAAGAAGAAGAAGAAGAAGAGAGAAAAUUUGAACAAUUUUAUGUACUUUCGACAAAGUCAUGUAUGUAACACAUACAUCAAAUUUGUAGUGCCUGGUAAUGGCAAUUGCAGGCCGAGGAUGGACAAACAAAGUGACAAAAGAGGAGAGAAAAACCGCCAGAGAUGCUGGUGAUGGAAGAAGAUAGACACCCAUUUUUCUUGUCUGUUUUUACUUUCCAACAAGGCUAGAUGAUGCACCAAUUUGUAAUCCAUGAAAUGCUGUUUUUAGCUAUAUGUUCAUCGAAUCUUAGAGAGUAGCAUAUAUCAUUAAGGAAUCAGAUUGUGAUGUUUAAUGGCAAAUCCACACUUGCCGUUAGCUAUUAAAUUCAUACUUAAUGACAUUUAUUUCUAGAAUCUCCAAUCUUGCUGCGAAGAUGGCAACCUAGCUACUCCUUGAAUUAAAUUUACCAAUAAUACUUCUUAUACUCCUGUACAAUGAAUGUCUAAGUAUUAUUUUGAUUGAGAAAAUUUUAAUUUUUGCAAUAAUGUUUUAUUAUCUAGUUUUUAUGUGAAAGUCUUAUUAAUUAAAAUCCUUGAUCUCAUUUGGUUAAACAUGCUUCGCUACAAUCUAACAAGUAAUGUUGCAAUCAGAAAUAAAAGGAUAAACGAGAUUUAUUAUAAUUUAAAUUAUUCAAAGACUAAAAAUACUGUAAUUAUAGAGAGACAUAAAAGAUAUUUAAUUUUUAUUUAUUAAAGUCUUCUUUACCUUUGUAUAAUUAUGAAAAAUCUCUGCUUGCAAGUGAAAGGCAAGUUAUUACUUGGAAGUUUAUGAAAAUAUAAAUGUCAGGAUUGAGUGUUGUGUUAGAGAAUAAUAUAGAUCAUAACUUGAAAUCUCACUUAACAGCUUAUGCUUUUGGGUUGAAUUAAUUCUUUGAUAUGAUAUCAAAGCCUUGAUGAUCAAGCGUUCACGAGUUUGAAUCUCACCAUCCCUAUUUAUUUGAUAAAAAAAUAAGCAUAAGGUGGUAUAAGUUUAUGCAAGUUUUAAGCCCAAAGGGCUUUCACUUGAGAGAGUGUGUUAAAAAAUAAUAUAAAUUAUAUCUUGAGACCUCAUCUAAUAGCUUAAGUUUUCGAGUUGAAUUGGUUCUUUGACAUGUUGAAUAUGAUUUUAUUGAUUUUGAAUUUUAUUUACAAAUUUUCCUUUCAAGGGAAACUGGAUCUUAUUUGUUUAUAAAGUAUAGUUGUUUCAAGGAAAUGUUUGAUUGUUUCUAGUAAAUAGUUUUGAUGCAUGAGAUUAUAGGAUUCUUAUAUAUUAGCUGGUUGUGUUUUUCUCAUGAGGAAUGAGUUGAUGCAUGCCUCUUGAAUUCAUUUAUUUGUUAAAUUUGGAAGAUAACAUCAUUUUGUUGAUAGGAGGAGGGGAGGAUUGUUCAAUGAGAGGAUUGUUCAAUGAGUCUAGGGUACUUGCUUAAGGAACAUGCAUCACCAAUCUUAACAAACCAAGAUCAUGAUUUAUGGUCUAGGAGAUAAAUGAACAACCUAAAAUAAUCUUUAUAGUUGCUUAAAACUUGUUUAAAAUAACUUUUACAUAUGAUUGGAUUAUAAAAUUGUAAAAUUGCACACUCUUAAAAGUACCCCUUAUAAAUAUAAUACAAAAAAUUGUAUUAUUUUAUAUCACUAUUUAGAAAAAUAUUAAUAUUAAUACUAGAUUUAUAAGAAUUUGCUUUAAAAAAAAAAACAGAUCCUAAUACAUUACCUUUAUGAAUGAUAUAAUUGAUCAUAAACUACAUUAAGAAAGGGUUUGAAAUUUUCAAACUAUGAUGCUAUAUAUAUAUAUAUAUAUAUAUAUACACUUCCUGUUUACUAUUUAAUCUGUUAUCUGGUAUCAGAGCCUAUUGGGAUCUGGGUGGGAAUAGUAACAUAAAAGCCAGUAUUCUUAGAAAGAACAAGAGACCAUUAGACUAUAGGUAUGCAACUGAAUGGUGUAAGUCCCGUUUGAGUUUUAGGGCAAUAAAUCCAUAUAACCUGCAGCCUGUUUCCUAGUUUAUCUUUCCUUUCUAUGGAUUCCGUCUUUCACAGGACUACUUCUCUUUCGGCUUCCUCUACCUCUGAAUCUUCUGAAAGCAGAAGAAUAGUACAAAGUGAAGAGAUAACUAUUGAAGACUUUACAAAAAACAUUGAUGACUGGAAAAUUCCAAAAAUUUCCCAAACUCAGAUUUAUCAAAAAUCUAAAUAUGAUAUUUUCAAAACAGAUUUUACUAUCAAAACUGAAGAGCGAGAUAUUCAGCUUACCAAACCUUUUGAAACCAUUCAACUCCUCUCUCAAAAAUCCUUACAAAAACAUCUAGCCCGAAACUAUAAAUAUAUUCAUGUUGGCCUUGUCCAGGUUGGAAUAAAACCCCUUACAAAAGAAGGCUUAAACACCUCCAUUCUAGCUGUCCUCCGUGAUGCUAGAUUUCAAAACUUCCAAGACUCCCUCCUCAGUUCUAUUGAGUCUAGCCUUUGCAGUGGGCCGGUAUCAUUUGACUGUUAUCCAAACAUAACCAUAUCCCUCAAAGACAAAAAUAUCUUGCAAAGUAUGCUACUUCAAAUAAAGACCCACAACUAUGACAUGCUCGAAGGAUCUAUCCCUGUUGCUCUCAUAUUCAAAAUCCAUUACAAAGCCAUGUUCUCAGCCUUUGCCAGCAAACAUAAAUUCCAAUCUAAAAAAGGCGAAACACUCCUACUACAAACAGAUUUAUCCCGCUCAAACACUGUUGUCCCAAAAGCAAUCCAAUGGAAAGACAUAUCCCUACCAGAAGAUUGGAUCCUUGAAGGUGCAGCACCACCAGAACUACCACCACCACCUCAACCCAAUGUCCAAAUUAAAAACAUUACCCAAUAUACAGAUGGAAAAGUCAAACUGUCUUUCCACCGACACUCUACAAGUUCCAGAUUCUCAGAAGCCUCUUCCUCUUCCAGUACAAUAGAUUUGGGAAGAAUUUCCAAAAUCCCUUCUGUUAUCAAUAUCCCUUAUCACGAAAACCUUCCAAGAAAAUCUACAUCCGAUAUCCCUUCUCCUAGUUUCCAAAAUGCAGACUAUACUACAAGUAUACCAAAACCUGUCUAUACAAACCUUGAGCAACCAUCUCCUCCAACUUCACCGACCUUUUCAGCUAUUACUGAAAAUAUCCAAAACGAGCUGAAUGUUUUGACUUCAGAGAAACAUUUCGUCCUUGACAAAACACUUUUCAAAAAGGAUUUCUAUUCGGCCUGUAACUCUACAAAACGAAUUUGGUUUUUUCAAAACUUUCUCGAACAUAGAAGUGAAAUACAAAAACAAUUUUAUAAUUUCAUUGAGCUACAUAAAAUACAAAUUCUAUUCUUUGAUUGGUUCGAAUUAUAUUAUGCAUCUGAACAUCACAUUUCAUAUCCUUUUGCAUCCAUUAAGCAUGCAUGCUCGGUCACAUCAAGGUCAAAAACCCCAGUAUGGAACCUCACCAGUGGACCUACAGUUGAGUCUGAACAUCCACCUUUGAGAAAUAUCCAAAUAACCCAUAAUAACCAGACUGUCGAGGCAGCCCCUUACAAAUUAUCCACUGAUGACACCCUUUCCAAUACAAAACACAUCAUUAACCAAAACAACUUUACAAACACCAACCUUAAUACCUUGGGAAAGCAGCUUACAUGGCUUGAGAAACAAAUACAAAGAACUGCUACAAGUUCAACUGGCAUUAAAACCUCAACCGACUUAAAGCUAAAAAACCCAGUCUUCAAACCCUACCAAAUUACAAAAACCAGCCAAACACAGAUCCAAGAUAACCAAACAGAUUUUCUUAAAUAAGAAUAGUUGGUUCAGUAGUUAUGGAAAUAUCUGGGGCAAUGGUUGUUUUGGGAGUUUGCCAAGUAAGUCUGUUUAGGGUAAGAGGUUUUUGUGGAGAAGUACCUUCAUCAGAAGAUUCCUGAGGACUAUUCUGUAACGUGUUGACUUGAUUUGUAGAGGUAGAAGGGUUGGUUGUUUGUGGUGUGUCGGGGACAGUUAAAGAUGAACUGUCAAGGUGUUGUAGAUGCAUUUUAAUAGCUUUAAGAAAAUCUGUUUGGUUAUCUUGGAUCUGUGUUUGGCUGGUUUUUGUAAUUUGGUAGGGUUUGAAGACUGGGUUUUUUAGCUUUAAGUCGGUUGAGGUUUUAAUGCCAGUUGAACUUGUAGCAGUUCUUUGUAUUUGUUUCUCAAGCCGUGUAAGCUGCUUUCCCAAGGUAUUAAGGUUGAUGUUUGUAAAAUUGUUUUGGUUAAUGAUGUGUUUUGUAUUGGAAAGGGUGUCAUCAGUGGAUAAUUUGUAAGGGGCUGCCUCGACAGUCUGGUUAUUAUGGGUUAUUUGGAUAUUUCUCAAAGGUGGAUGUUCAGACUCAACUGUAGGUCCACUGGUGAGGUUCCAUACUGGGGUUUUUGACCUUGAUGUGACCGAGCAUGCAUGCUUAAUGGAUGCAAAAGGAUAUGAAAUGUGAUGUUCAGAUGCAUAAUAUAAUUCGAACCAAUCAAAGAAUAGAAUUUGUAUUUUAUGUAGCUCAAUGAAAUUAUAAAAUUGUUUUUGUAUUUCACUUCUAUGUUCGAGAAAGUUUUGAAAAAACCAAAUUCGUUUUGUAGAGUUACAGGCCGAAUAGAAAUCCUUUUUGAAAAGUGUUUUGUCAAGGACAAAAUGUUUCUCUGAAGUCAAAACAUUCAGCUCGUUUUGGAUAUUUUCAGUAAUAGCUGAAAAGGUCAGUGAAGUUGGAGGAGAUGGUUGCUCAAGGUUUGUAUAGACAGGUUUUGGUAUACUUGUAGUAUAGUCCAAACACCUUGACAGUUCAUGGUUAGCUAAAAUGCAUCGAAAUAUGCAUCUGAACAUAUUUUUUAUACAAUCAUAAUUUUGAAAAAUUACUCUACUAUUAAAAAGGAAAUCCUUUCAAUUGUUCUUUGUAUUACAAAAUUUCAAAGUGACUUAUUAAAUCAAAAAUUUCUCUUACGUGUUGACUGCAAAUCCGCAAAAGAAGUUCUCCAAAAAGAUGUCCAAAAUCUUGCUUCCAAACAAAUCUUUGCCAGAUGGCAAGCCAUUUUAAGUAUUUUUGAUUUUGAUAUUGUUUACAUUAAAGGAGAAUCAAAUUGCAUCCCUGAUUUCCUAACCCGAGAAUUCCUUCAAAACAGGUCCUGAUGCCUCCUAAAGCAAAAGCCAAGGACAAGGGAAAAGCCCCUCAAACACAGCCUACAAAACCAGAGAGCCCCAAGCCUUCUACAAAACUCAUGUCUUCAGCCAUCCUCGCUGCCAAGCCUAUCAAAUCUUGGUAUGAGGCAGUUAUUGAAGAUGAAGACACUACAAAACCACCACAAGUACAAACAGAUGCAGUUCAACAUUGGGUUGACACUAUAUCCAAAUCGCCAGAAUUACUCCUGGCAUUGCAAAAAGUAUCUCAACAAGCCUCCACUGACUCCGUGUCUCCAACAGGUAGUAUUUCCAAAUCACUUUCAAAACCCCAAGGAGGCAUUUUAUCUUCAAAACCCCUCCUUUCCUUACAACAAACAAGUUUUCCAAAAACCAAAUCCAAAUAUAUUUUCAAAAAUGCUUUCCAAAACAUUUUAACUAUGGAAGAAGGAUUUUACCAUGAAAACCCUUCCAUUGCUGCUUCAAAAAUUUUCCCUCCAAAAUGGCACUAUAAACCUUGGAAUCUAGCUCAACCACAAUCCUAUUAUGCAACUAUCCUUGAAAUUACCGAUUUCAGGUCUUUUUAAGGCUCAUCUGUUUAGAGCCCAUUUCUUUUAGACUCAGAUGUUUUGAGCCUUUUAUUUUUCGGCCUAUCUAUUUUAAGGCCUUUUCUACAAAAGUUACCGGUUACUACAAACCCACCAAUCAAGUGUCGGUGGCAAGACGACAACAAACGAAGCUCAACCAAAAACGUGGACAAUUUCCAUUCUGUCGCCAUCCAAUCAAGGCAGACAGCACCACAUGGGCUCCUAUAGGUUCUGCCAAAGGCCACAUGGGUUCACAUGGGUCCUGAAGAGCUUCCCCAACAGGACAAUUUGGCCUCUUCCAUGCCAACUCGCCUAUAAAAGGCCACUUCAAAACCCUGAGAGGGCGGACUAAUCUUUCCCCUAGAAAACUUUACUCUCCCCUAAAAAUUUGUAACCCAUUCUCCUCUGUAACCAAUAUCUCCUGUCUUAAUUUUGUUACAAAUUUAAAGUAAGAUAAUCUUAUCUACGUUUUUUGUUAUAUCUGUUGGCCAUGGUCAUUUGUUGGAGAGUGUUUAGGAUAUUAUAUUCGGACAUUCCAUCUAUAUUCCAUUCAUAGAGGGAGGAGGCAUUAUACUUGUGUUGAGUAAGAAUAGUUGGUUCAGUAGUUAUGGAAAUAUCUGGGGCAAUGGUUGUUUUGGGAGUUUGCCAAGUAAGUCUGUUUAGGGUAAGAGGUUUUUGUGGAGAAGUACCUUCAUCAGAAGAUUCCUGAGGACUAUUCUGUAACGUGUUGACUUGAUUUGUAGAGGUAGAAGGGUUGGUUGUUUGUGGUGUGUCGGGGACAGUUAAAGAUGAACUGUCAAGGUGUUGUAGAUGCAUUUUAAUAGCUUUAAGAAAAUCUGUUUGGUUAUCUUGGAUUUGUGUUUGGCUGGUUUUUGUAAUUUGGUAGGGUUUGAAGACUGGGUUUUUUAGCUUUAAGUCGGUUGAGGUUUUAAUGCCAGUUGAACUUGUAGCAGUUCUUUGUAUUUGUUUCUCAAGCCGUGUAAGCUGCUUUCCCAAGGUAUUAAGGUUGGUGUUUGAAAAUAUUAUGCAUCUGAACAUCACAUUUCAUAUCCUUUUGCAUCCAUUAAGCAUGCAUGCCCGGUCACAUCAAGGUCAAAAACCCCAGUAUGGAACCUCACCAGUGGACCUACAGUUGAGUCUGAACAUCCACCUUUGAGAAAUAUCCAAAUAACCCAUAAUAACCAGACUGUCGAGGCAGCCCCUUACAAAUUAUCCACUGAUGACACCCUUUCCAAUACAAAACAGAAUUAUUGUUUACAUUAAAGGAGUAUAUAUAUAUAUAUAUAUAUAUAUAUAUAUAUAUAUAUAUAUAUAUAUAUAUAUAUAUAUAUAUAUAUAUAUAUAUAUAUUGAUAUAUAUAUAUAUAUAUAUAUAUAUUCUUUUUGGCUUUCAAUAAUUGCUACAAAGGUGAGUUAUCACAAACCACAAGAUAUCCAUGUGUUCACUCUCUAACGGUAAUCUACACGAACCAUCAAUGAGAAAUCUCCUAAAUUCUUUUAGAAUAGAGGAAUUUCUAUACCUUUGAGUGUUAACUCUUUUCUUUUGUGUUUAGAUAUUUUUGUAUUGCACUGUCUUGUAUAAAAAAUAAGUAGUAUAACAUUCUAUUUAUAGGGAAACCUAAAAACCCUAUAAAUAAAAAAAUAUCAAUUCACACUUUAAAUAAUAUCACAUAUAUUAUUUUAGAAUAAUUUUAGAAAUUUAUUCAAUCAAGUCCCUAUUCGAUUUUUUUUCUAAGUCUAGAAUUGUAAUCUCUUAUAUUCAUUACAUUAUAGUACUUAAUUUCUAAAACAUAAUUACAAUCAAGUCACACUUGAUUAAUCAUUCCAUUUUAAUUUCUGACUAAUAAUUCUUUUAUGUGUGAGUCAAUACGUUCCCUAAUAAGAUAACCCAAAUAUAAAUUAUAAUCCUAAAUAAAUAGGAUUAAAUAAAUUAAACAAUUUAAUUUAUUAUCAGUUCAACAAUUGAUUGAUUUAUAUUUGAAGAUCAAAUAAAUAUAAUGUCUAGCAACCUUUCAUGAUCCUCUAAGUAUUUAGAAAGUCAUAAGUGAUUCGACUUAAUCUUUUAUUGACCAGUUUCUCAAUGUAAUUAUUAUCAUUUAUCAAUAAUGUUUUAAUUUAAACAUUAUAGCAUGGAGUAUGUCAAGGUAGUGACUCCCUGAUCUUGACAUCCCGUUACGCUACGCGCCCACAUGCGACUCACUCAUUCCACUAGUUUACCAAGUUUUAUUGCUAAAAAGGAUAUAGGAUACACUCAUGGAGAUCAGUUAUUUCUUUAGAGAUAUAUGCUCCAACAAGUUGCAGAUAUAACACAUGGAGAUGCUUGAAAUGAAUAUAGUCUAGACAAUUUACAAACUUGAAAUGAUAUUCCUUGCAUCUUUCUUUGACUCAAUAGAGCAUCUACUCAUACAUCUACCGUUUAAGGCAAAAGUUGAAGACCCAGUCCAUAUAGAUAGAUGUAUCCAUUCGAGAAGUUAAUGAUUACACAUACAUCAUAAUUAAAAUUCUAUUGUUUUUUUAUUAAUUCAAAAUAUUCAUUUAAUUUCAUGCAUGUACUUGUUCAGCCUUAAGAGAAAAGUAAAAAAAUAAGGCGUAUGUUGAGGCUUCGAUAUAUGAAGCUUAUAUUGUUAAAGAGAUCUCAACAUUUAUCUCGUACUAUUUCGAGCCGUACUUGAGAACAAGAAUCAAUUGUGUUUCAAUACAUGACGACGAUGGGGAAGUGACUUCAAAUGGAAACUUGUCUAUACUUUUCUAUCUUGGACGACCCGUACCAAAACAUGUUGUGAGGAGAACAUAUUUAACAGAAAUAGAAUUCAAACAAGCACAUAAUUAUGUGCUAUUUAACUCCAAAAAAAUUUCACAUGGUUUAGAACAUUUGUAAAAACUGUUUAAUUAUUCUUAUAUCUCGAGAUAUUUAAUUUCAUUACACAUUUCUCAUUAACUAUGAUGGAGAUGUAAUUUAUGUACCAGGUUUAUCAAUUGAGAAGGAAUGCUAAUGUUACUUUGAAUUUACUAAGUCUGGAUCCUGAAAGAAAGGUGAAGUGCUAUAACAGGUAUUUCAUCAAUAGACAUAUGUUUCAUACUGAAGAGUAUAGUCAGAGUAGAAAGACAUGUAACAGUGGGAUCUGUGUUAAAGGAUCAACUUUUAAGAGUUUGAAGUUGACUAUUAUGGAAACUUAGAAGAGGUCAUUGAAUUGCAAUAUAAUAGCGAGCAAAAUACAGUCUUUUUAUUCAAAUGUUAUUGGUAUGAUACUACUAACAAAAAAAUCAAAUUAAAUCUCCAUCAUGGUUUGGUCGAAAUUAAUACAAAGGCUAGACUCUGCAGCGUCAAGGAUAUCUUUGUUUUUGCCAAGCAAUGCCAGCAAAUUUAUUACACAUUCACUCCAUUUAAAAAUGAUUGUUCAAGAGUUGAUUGGUUAUCUGUAGUGAAAAUCAAACCCAAAAAUCAUGUCCAGGUUGUUCAGAAUGACAACUAUGAAUUAACUGUGGGAGAUGAUGUUUUUCAACUUGAUAAGUUAGUUGAUCCAUAUCGAGUUGCUCCAUCUAAUGACUUAGAAGAAAAAUCAAAUUUUCGCAUCGCCGCGAGAAUACUUUGGUUAAUGUUGACAUUGGGGAUUUAAAUGGUGUUUUGAGAACUAACGGACAUAUAGAAGUUGAUGGAGAUGAUGAUAGUGAUGAAAUCAACGUAGAAGAUUGCAAUGGAGAUGACUUAGUCCGUUGUUAUAUUCCAGAGAGUUGGAAAAAAAUUACUGCAAAUGCUAUUGAUUUUCUGUUUUUGUUUAGUAGAUUUUUUUUUAAAUCUAAAUUAUUCCUGAUGGGGUUACCUAAAAUCUAAGUUCAUCGGUAUAUUCCAAAGAGUUUGAAAAGAGUUAUUACAAAUGUCAUUGCCACUGUUUACUCACCAACGGAAUAACAAACAGUUUGUUUGACAAUUAUAUGUUAAAUUCAACGAGUGAAAUACUGACGGACCAAAACAGAACCACCGAUGAAAUGACAUACGGUUUUUCUGUCGGUGAUAUAUUAUAUUCAACAAUGGAAAUACUGAUGGAAUGAAGCGGGUAAAAAAAAAAUUAGCAUUGUUUUUCCAUCAGUAAAUCCAUCGGUAAAAUUAUUACUGACAGACCUCAAAUCACUUAUGAGAGUUUUUUCAACAAAUUAUUUCUAUCCGUGAGCCUGUUUUCUAAGUAGAAGUAUGGACAAAAAAAUCUGUCAAUAAAUCUAAAAAUUUUAGUUGUGUUUGGAUGUCUUAUUCUUAUAAUAAUUCUACAAUUUUUUUUAUUGCUUUCGUUUAUUGUCUAAUUAUUAGUUCUGAAUAUUUCACUUUACACUAAACAAUUGCAAUUUUUACGAACAAUUCCAACCUCCUCUAGCAGCGUACUCAAGGAGGACAAUAGCUGCAUAGCAUGGCUUGACAAGCAAACUCGUAAAUCAGUUAUCUAUGUAAGCGUGGGAAGCGUACUUUUCAUGCAGGAGAAAGAACUAGUAGAAAUGGUUUGGGGCCUAGCCAGCAGCAAGCAGCCUUUCUUGUGGGUGCUUAGGACUGACUUUCCUGAUGGUAUAAGGAGAAAAAAAAAAAACACUGUAUGGGAUAGAGAUUGCAAUGUGAAACGAACAGCACAAAUGGAAGUGUUAGCACACGCUGCAGUUGGAGGGUUUUGGAAUCAUGGUGGCUGGAAUCCCACAAUGAAAAGUUAAUCCGAAGGAGUUCCAGCGAUAUGCAAAACUAACAUACUUUGGGGAUCAAAGGGUGGAUGCAAGAUAUGUGAGUCAUGUAUGGAAAGUAGGCUUUUGAGUUUGAGCCUGAAAUGGAGAGGGGGAAGAUUGAAGAAAGAACUGUAAGAAAACUAAUCGUGGACAGAAAGGGGGAGAUGAGGCAGAUAGCAAUGGACUUGAAGCAGAAGUUUGAAAUGAGCAUAAGCGAUGCGAUGGUGGUUUUUCUUCUAAUUCCUUGAAUGGAUUAGUAGAGUUCAUAAUGUCUUGUUGUUGAUUGCCUACAUUGAUUAGUUUAUGUUAGUUUCCUCACAAGCUUUUUCAAUAAGUAGCUAAGUUUGUUCGAAAGUGCAUUUUGGUGAUAAUGCUAGUGUGGAUUUUAGAGAUGAGGGAUUUGAAUCACUGGCCAAAUUGUACAUUUUCAAAGUUAAAAGUUGUGGUUUGAGUCUUCUGCGCUGGUUUUGGACAGGCUCAAUCAUCAUUUUGUCUUACGCUUUGUUAGUUUUGAUCAGUUCACUAGCUCACUUUUAUUGUUUUAUUCAUUGUUCUUCGUUCACUGGCUCACUUUUAUUGUUUUGUUCUUUGUUCUUAACCCUUAGCAAAAUCUUCCUUGCACAUUAAAUAAUUAAUAGGUUGAAAAAAACAUAGUACAUUCGUUUCCUUCCUCAACUCCGACAUGGGUAAUAAAGAUAAUCUCGGAAGACUAAUGCUCAUAAAAAAAUUGCUCAAAGGAAAUAAAUUGACUAGUUGCAAAGAAAAUCCGAAGAAAAAAAAUCAUCAGGGCAGUUUCUGGUCUCAGUGUAGUGAAGAAGCAGCUCGAAGCCUUGAAUGUCAACACUUGGGAAGAUCGGCUGGUGGAGGAAGCAGCUUCUGAUUGGGAAGCUUUCCAUCCAGGACAACCCAAGCCAUCUUCAAGCCCCAGCUUGUGUGCACUUCUAGAUGGCAAUGCAUGAACCAUACACCUGAUGAUGCCAUCAUCCACAAAUGAUACAACUCAGCAAAACAUGGUACUACGUACAUACAUAAAUCUAAUUAUCUAAGCCAGGAUAUUACUCAGCACAUUAUAUACUUAUAAUUAAUUACCAACCUGGGUUGUCGGCUAGAAAACGUAUAGCAACCCAGCCUCCAGAGGGCACUCCCACGGUAUUCCUUUCAACGGGGUCAACAAGAUUGAAAUUUGCCGGAUCCUUUUUUGGAUCAAAGUUCCCAAAUCCUUCACCAACAACAAAGAAAUUGAAACCAUGCAAAUGAAGAGGGUGGCUCUCAGCACCAAGUAUGCUGGUGUCCUGCAUAAUGAGCUCCACGCUGGUGUUAAAAGGAAGCACAACUAGCUUUGUUCCAUUGCUCACCAUAGUAUUGUUUGGUGGGGUGCCGGUAUAAUUAAAAGGGAUUAGUGGAUUGAUUGGAAAGUUAGGGCUGUAAACGCCCUUUGAUUGACCAAAAUGAUGGGCUUGGAGUAGAGCUUUGGUUGGCAUCACAAAUGAUACAUUAUUAACUGAAGCUGCAAACAUUGUUCCAUUUGGUCCCUGGCAGGUUUUGUUUUUGGAGCAUGGGUUUGUUCCAAGGCUUACACUGAAGAAAAAUUGCCUGUCUACCUUUUGCGGCACAUUGGCAGGGAAUUCUGCACUUGCUAGGCUGCGGAGUUUGCUUGUGAAAUUUGUAGCAAAUGAAGUGUCAUUUAGAGGUGGUAGAUUUGGUUUAUAGAACGGCAGUUUCUUAGGGGAGUGGCUUGAUUUAAUGGUUUUGUUUGAUUCUUCAUAUUCUAAGAUUCCAGCAACAGUUGAAUUAUCAAAAGUUCCUUGACCAGUCACGUAAGGUCUAGCAGACAUG
rnacentral:lncRNA from 1 species